GGGAGUAGAAAAGUCCUGGCGGGCUUCGCUGGCUUCAACCCAGUUGAAAGGUCGUUAAACAUCUUUGGUGGGUUCGAUUCCCAUGUACUCCCGCCA
rnacentral:tRNA from 1 species